rnacentral:rRNA from 1 species
AGAGUUUGAUCCUGGCUCAGAACGAACGCUGGCGGCGUGCCUAACACAUGCAAGUCGAACGGAAUUGAGGUGCUUGCACUUCAAUUUAGUGGCGCACGGGUGAGUAACGCGUAGAUAAUCUGCCUGAUGAUCUGGGAUAACAGUUCGAAAGGACUGCUAAUACCGGAUAAGCCCACGGGGUCUUUGGACUUUGCGGGAAAAGGGGGGGACCAUUUGGCCUUCUGUCAUCAGAUGAGUCUGCGUACCAUUAGCUAGUUGGUAGGGUAAAGGCCUACCAAGGCUACGAUGGUUAGCCGACCUGAGAGGGUGAUCGGCCACAUUGGAACUGAGACACGGUCCAAACUCCUACGGGAGGCAGCAGUGGGGAAUAUUGCACAAUGGGCGAAAGCCUGAUGCAGCAACGCCGCGUGAGUGAUGAAGGCCUUUGGGUCGUAAAGCUCUGUCCUAAGGGAAGAAAAAAAUGACGGUACCUUAGGAGGAAGCCCCGGCUAACUACGUGCCAGCAGCCGCGGUAAUACGUAGGGGGCAAGCGUUAUCCGGAAUUAUUGGGCGUAAAGAGUGCGUAGGUGGUUAUUUAAGCGCGAGGUGAAAGGCUACAGCUUAACUGUAGUAAGCCUUGCGAACUGGAUGACUUGAGUGCAGGAGAGGAAAGCGGAAUUCCUAGUGUAGCGGUGAAAUGCGUAGAUAUUAGGAGGAACACCAGUGGCGAAGGCGGCUUUCUGGACUGUAACUGACACUGAGGCACGAAAGCGUGGGGAGCAAACAGGAUUAGAUACCCUGGUAGUCC